rnacentral:rRNA from 1 species
UGGGGAAUUUUGGACAAUGGGCGAAAGCCUGAUCCAGCAAUGCCGCGUGUGUGAAGAAGGCCUUCGGGUUGUAAAGCACUUUUGUCCGGAAAGAAAUCCUUGGCUCUAAUACAGUCGGGGGAUGACGGUACCGGAAGAAUAAGCACCGGCUAACUACGUGCCAGCAGCCGCGGUAAUACGUAGGGUGCAAGCGUUAAUCGGAAUUACUGGGCGUAAAGCGUGCGCAGGCGGUUUGCUAAGACCGAUGUGAAAUCCCCGGGCUCAACCUGGGAACUGCAUUGGGUGACUGGCAGGCUAGAGUAUGGCAGAGGGGGGUAGAAUUCCACGUGUAGCAGUGAAAUGCGUAGAGAUGUGGAGGAAUACCGAUGGCGAAGGCAGCCCCCUGGGCCAAUACUGACGCUCAUGCACGAAAGCGUGGGGAGCAAACAGGAUUAGAUACCCUGGUAGUCCACGCCCUAAACGAUGUCAACUAGUUGUUGGGGAUUCAUUUCCUUAGUAACGUAGCUAACGCGUGAAGUUGACCGCCUGGGGGAGUACGGUCGCAAGAUUAAAACUUAAAGGAAUUGACGGGGUCAUAGCUGUUUCCU